rnacentral:rRNA from 1 species
CCUACGGGGGGCAGCAGUGGGGAAUAUUGGACAAUGGGCGAAAGCCUGAUCCAGCCAUGCCGCGUGUGUGAAGAAGGCCUUCGGGUUGUAAAGCACUUUCAGCGGGGAAGAAAGCCUUGGGGCUAAUACCCUCGAGGAAGGACAUCACCCACAGAAGAAGCACCGGCUAACUCCGUGCCAGCAGCCGCGGUAAUACGGAGGGUGCGAGCGUUAAUCGGAAUUACUGGGCGUAAAGCGCGCGUAGGCGGUCUGAUAAGCCGGUUGUGAAAGCCCCGGGCUCAACCUGGGAACGGCAUCCGGAACUGUCAGGAUAGAGUGCAGGAGAGGAAGGUAGAAGUCCCGGUGUAGCGGUGAAAUGCGUAGAGAUCGGGAGGAAUACCAGUGGCGAAGGCGGCCUUCUGGACUGACACUGACGCUGAGGUGCGAAAGCGUGGGUAGCAAACAGGAUUAGCUACCCUGGUAGUC